rnacentral:rRNA from 1 species
GUGUGAGUAACACGUGGAUAACCUACCUAUAAGACUGGGAUAACUUCGGGAAACCGGAGCUAAUACCGGAUAAUAUAUUGAACCGCAUGGUUCAAUAGUGAAAGACGGUUUUGCUGUCACUUAUAGAUGGAUCCGCGCCGCAUUAGCUAGUUGGUAAGGUAACGGCUUACCAAGGCAACGAUGCGUAGCCGACCUGAGAGGGUGAUCGGCCACACUGGAACUGAGACACGGUCCAG